AUUGAACGCUGGCGGCAGGCCUAACACAUGCAAGUCGAGCGAGCGGCGGACGGGUGAGUAAUGUAUGGGGACUGCCCGAUCGAGGGGGAUAACUACUGGAAACGGUGGCUAAUACCGCAUACUAUCGGAUAACCCAUAUGGGAGUAGCUCGUAGGGGGGGUAAAGGCUCACCUAGGCAACGAUCUAUAGCUGGUCUGAGAGGCUGAUCAGCAACAAUGGGACUGAAACACGGCCCAGACUCCUACGGAGGCAGCAGUUGGGAAUAUUGCACAAUGGGCGCAAGCCUGAUGCAGCCAUGACGCGUGUAUGAAGAAGGCCUUAGGGUUGUAAAGCACUUUAAGUUGGGAGGCGUUACCAACAGAAUAAGCACCGGCUAACUUCGUGCCAGCAGCCGCGGUAAUUC
rnacentral:rRNA from 1 species